rnacentral:pre_miRNA from 1 species
AGGAGGAACAACCCCAGUGGGGGUGGCAGCUUUGGAGCCCUGGAUUCAGCCCCCGCAGUAACUCCAGAGCUCUCCGUUUGCAGGGCUUGGAUGCUCUGGGGGCGG